UUAUGAAAGGACUCCUGACUUCUAAUUAAGAACACUGCUAGAAUAUAGCAGUACACAUAAUACUAAAAAUCUUUAAAAACCAGCAUCUGAGAAAUCAUGGCAAGCAUCUUAUACAUGAAGAAUCUUUUUAAGGCACUUCAAGCAUUCCGAGCUGUGACCACAGAAGAAGGGGAUUUGAAGCCAGAGCUUCUCUGGAGCACAGUCUGAGCCUCCCUCGGCUACACAUUCAUCAAAGGUCUGGAAAAAAUACAGAGCAGAACAUGUGAGCCAUAAACCUGAGCUUCACCUAUCAAUUAUCUUAAUGUGACAGCCUUCACCAUGAUAUAGGAAAGUUUUAUGACUUGGGCUUGAAUCUUGAACCAGAAAACUUAAGUUUUGUGUUAGUCUCUUCAUCUAAAAACCAAGGACAUAG